UGGUGGAUCCCACCUUCUUUAAUCCUUAGGCUUGUGACUUGUCUUUCACAAUAUUCUUCUUCCCUCUCUUCAUUUUCAAUUUGUUUUCUUUUCUAUUUAAAAAUGCCUCCUGUCUAAGUAGUUGUCUAACGCAUUGAAAACCAAACAUACUUAAUUUUAGUUUCAAAUUGUUUUCCUAACCAAGGAAAUUCAGAACAAGUCCAUGACAUCAACAUUUUCCAAACACACACAUGACAUAGUCAUAAUCAAAACGCAUCAGGUUAAUUAGGUAGCUUACCUAGUUACUGUAAACAAAACCAAUCAAUUGUUUUGUGGUCAGGAACGAAUCACUAGCUAAAUUUAGAUGGAAACUAAAUGGAAUAUGGUUUAUACUAAUUAAUUGGGAUGGUAGGGCUUAACAAGUCUUUGGCAGUAAAUAAUAGUUUAAGUGUGUUUAGUGUGGAUCAUGUGAAAGUCAUCAGAGCUUACCUGUCGCUUUUAAAUUAAUUGCUUUUAGUUUAAUCUAAUUUAAUCUAUAUAUGUAUACCGGUACUGUUACUUAAUAUCAUCCAUGCGUUUCGUGACCAAAACAAACAAAACAUACUACGCUGCUGCAGAUAAUUAGUUACACAAUGCACACUUUAUAAACACAAAAACAUUUUGCAUUGUGUAUAACGUCUAAAUUUAUUAGUAGACAAAGUAGAAUCAACAAGAGAAGGAACAUCAGAAUACCAACCUAUUAUUUAUAACUUGUGUUAGCGAGCCAUAACGAAACUAAAAACAACUUAAAGUCAUUCAAUAUUGCACUUCCAAUAAUAUCCUUAAAUCAAAAUUAACCCAAAAUUAACAAAAAUGAAGAAAAAACCACCAAUACGAAUGUUCAAAGUGAAAUUAAGAUAAUAUUAAUUAAUUAAAUAAAUAGCAUUAAUAGCUUCAUCAUCAAACUAA